rnacentral:lncRNA from 9 species
CGGCGGUCAAAGCCUGGGAGCUCCUCUGCCCGGGCCACUCCCGAUGCUCUGGGUGUACGCGGAGCCACGGUCCCCUCUCCCUUCGCCAGUGCCCUGAGGCGGAUGGAUCCGACGGGAGCGGCCACCGACCAGAACCAAGUGGAACUGCAUUAAAGCGAAGAUGCAAGAAAUGAUUGGGCUUAGCAUUCUUUCUCUGCUUGGCUGGAAGCUUCUCAAGAGCCAGGGGUGAGUCUUUUAUUUCUUCCAUCCUCC